rnacentral:lncRNA from 1 species
GAAAGUUUGGUUAAACUUAUAAAGAGGUCACCUUAUUUACUUGCUGUCAAUGGUCCAAAAAGAUUUGAACCCAAAAUAUUGUUGUUGCAAAAAUUUGGUUUUUCAAAUGCCCAAAUCGAGAAACUUAUACUUCAGAAACCACGUAUACUUCUGCAAAAAUUCGAGUGGCUAGAGGAGAUAUUGCACAAAGCUGAAAAGGAUUUACAGAUUUCUCCCACAUCUGGAAUGUUCAUGUACGGAGUUCUUGCAGUUAUCGCACUAGGUAAGUCAACUGUGGAAAACAAAAUGGCAGUUUUCAGGAGUUGUGGAUGGUGUGAUCAGGAUAUAAUGACUGUGUUCAGAAAGCAACCCCUCUGUUUGGCUAUGUCAGAAGCUAGAGUUCUGCGAGCAUUGGACGUUUUCACGAGGGUACUCGGAUGCAAACCAGAAUACUUGAUUAGUAAUCCUGCACUUCUAAUGCUUAGCCUGGACAAGAGAGUGAUUCCUAGAAAUCAAGUACUGAAAGUUUUAAAGGAGAAGAAGCUGAAUCAGAAAGUAUCUUUUUCUCGAGCUAUGUAUAUAUCUGAACCUAUGUUUCGUUCAGAAUUCGUGCUUCCUUACAAGGAUGAGAUACCUAAUCUGUAUGAGUCAUAUGUGACAUGUGUGAGACGUUAGAGUCAUGAUGAUCAGUCAAAUGAGGUGCGAUUUUCAUCUUUAUGGUUCAUACUCAUGAUCUUUCAGUCAAAUGAAUUUUGUUUCUUCAGGUCUUUCCUGUUUUGUAUUGAAGUUACAACUAUUAGUUCCCCUGCAGUGUGGUAAUUUCAUUUUCUCUGUCCAUCCUGCUUAUAUGUGUUGAUCCUUUUGAGUUCCGGACUAAGCAUGAAUUGAACAAUCUUGUUCUCGCUAUAUAUGACUCAUUGAAUCUUCUGGUUAUUGUUUGCUCUGCGUUUUUUCUAAACUUUUCUUCUGGGCAGAGUGCUUGUUUAUGGACUCUACCUAGACUGCAGAUUCAACAACUAGUUGCAGCAUGUAAAGAGGUUUAUUGUAGCAACUGAGUCUGCAUUACUCUUAGUUGAAGAUGGAGUUGCACAAUUAUUUUGCCUUACAAGAUUUAGCAACAGCUAGGUAAUAGAGGGACACAGAUUCUUUAAGUUCCUUUUUGGCUUCACACCUUGUGUCCGGUUCCUACAUUGGGUUCUGACUAAAUCUGUAUUUGUGUCGGGAAUGCUAGAAUAAUAUUGCACUCAAUACAUUGAGAUGGCAUUAGGAUUUGUUUGGGAUAAAUUCUCAUGUAUAACCUAAUGGUUGAAGAGCACCACAUCUAAUAUACUUUAAUACUUGAAAAUUGUGACAGUUGUAGACAUUUUAUAACCUUCUAAGAUGAAAGAGACUCAUGUAAUUUAUUAUUUUUCUAGAAAGUGUAAAUAUAUUUGUUUAAUUAAGAACAAAACAUUUUUAUUAUUUAUUUUGAGCUUGUUUUUUAGCCUGAAAAAACUCUCCUUUCUUUUUCAUAUUUCUUUUGUAAUUUUGAAAUACCAAAAUGAUAUACCCUUCUGUUUCAAUUUAUGUGAUUUUCUUUUUGAUACGGAUGCCUUUUACGAUUAAAUAGCAAUGAUUUAAUUUUAACUGUUUUAUUUUCAGUUCUUAAUAAAUUUACUUAUACCAUACGAAUAUCUAUAGUAAAUUAAACAAAUCUCUCUUUUUUUUAUUUUUUAACUAUAUGUCCAAUCAGACACAUCUUAUAAUUAUGAAUAGUUGACUAUACAAGCUAUCAAAAGUCAAAUAUAAGUGAACUCUUAAAUAGGUAAACUUCAACAAAUGAACUUUUAUAACUAUGACUUAUUUUACCAAAAUAAAUACAAAAUAGAAAGAUAAUUUAUCACUUUAUUUUUAAUCUAUUCUGAUCAUUUCUCAAAAUAUGAAUUCUUAUUAUAAUCAAAAAAUAAUAUAAUAAAAUUAUCAUUGAUUUCUUUAUUUGUUUACAGAGAGUUAUUGAAAACACUUCUAAAUUCGACGCAAAUUAUUAGUUUUAUUGUCGAACUAUUGACUGUAUUUUUAUUUGACUAACUGAACUUAAAUAUUUACACCCAAUCUUGAAACAUGAGUGGCAACACCCCCUAAAUUCUCUCCACAUUUAGGAGUGUUUUCAACACUUCCGCUUUUUAUUAAGAGUCUCAUCUCUUAUCAGAGUUUGAAACUUCUUGCUAUAUUAGGUGGCAUAUUAGAAUGUAUUUGAAUUUAGUUUGUAUUUAAAUUUAGUUAGUCAAAUAGAAUUAUUUUUUUUAAGACAAUCAAUAAUUUAAGAAUGAAAUUAAUAAUUUACUUAAAUUGAGAAAAUGUUAGGCACAAAUAAAAAUAGAUGGUGAAAUCAAAUAGACAGUGUACUGCAGUACUUAUUUGAAGUUUGCUUGGCCCGUUCAAUUUCUCCAGUCUCCAUUGUUAACUAUGCUAACUCGAAUCACUCGUUGUGGGAUUCAUGCAAAUGGAGUCAAGAAUCCACUCCUUUUCUCCAUCGACAACUUCAGAUUUGUCCUUCACUGCUCCAACAGUGCUGCACCAACUCAGUACUUGGUGGACCUUCUUGUUGAUUCUCUUGGGUUUUCAAAAGAAGAAGCAGUUACAACAAGCAGCAAGGUAAUCCGCUUGAAACCCUCAAAAAACCCAGAAUUUGUAGUCGAUUUCUUUCAAAAAAAUGAUUUUGAUAAUAACCAAAUCAAGAACAUUAUCUCCAAAUCCCCUAAAGUACUGUUCUCUAAUGUAGACAAAACCCUUAAACCAAAACUCGAGAUUUUACAAGAAAUUGGGCUUUCUGGGACUGACUUAUAUAAGUUUAUAAUUGAGAAUGAUUUGUUUUUCAGCAAAGGUUUGGAUACUUUUAUUAGACCUUCCCUUGAUUAUCUUAGAAAUUUAUUGGGUAGUGAUGAAAAUGUUGUUAAGAUUAUAAAAAAGAGUUCCUGGUUACUUAGAUGUCAUGUUACCAAGACAAUAGCACCUAAUGUGUUGUUGUUACAUGAUAUUGGGCUUUCAGAUGAGAAAAUUAGGAAGUUUAUAUUGCAGAACCCAAAGCGUAUAACGCGGAAUCUUGGAUGUCUUAAGGAUGUUAUUCAUAGAGUGGAGAAAGACCUUGGAAUCCCUCGUGAAUCACGUACAUUCUUCAAUGGAAUUGCUGCCAUUGUUACACUCCGCCAGUCAACUUUGGCAAAGAAAAUUGAUGUUUAUAAAAGUUUUGGUUGGUCUGAUGAACAUAUAAGAACCAUGACCAGAAAUUAUCCUUCUUGUUUGAGUUCCGCGGAGGUAAAAAUCUGUAAACAGUUAACUUUUCUCAUGAAUGAAGUUGGCUGCACGUCAGAGUAUUUAGCAUCUCAUUCUCGUCUGUUAACGCAUAGUUUAGAGAAGAGAGUGAUUCCAAGAUAUAGGAUCCUGAAAAUUUUAAAUGAAAAACAUCUCAAAAAAGGUGUGGGGUUAUUCACUGCUGUUAGCAUGACGCCAUCUAAGUUUAUGGAAGCAAUUUUGCUGCCUCACAAGGAUAAAAUACCCAUUGCAUAUGAAGCAUACAUGAAAAGUGUCGGAUGAAAUAGAUAUUAUCAGUUUCCACUUGUUGAGGUAAACAAUUUCUUUACGGCUGUUAUCUAGUAUUCUUAUUCCAUUUUUGUUAUUGCUGUAAUUUUAUUUUCUUGGUUCCAUUUUAAAAUUAGGGACUAUGUCACUGUUUGGUUUGCUGCUGUAUUGCCAUUAUCUGAUAGUGCAAUUCGAAACGAAAAAGUAUUCUUUGUUGAAGCCAUUGGUAAGUAAGGUAGGCUACCACUCUACCCAUAUUGACAAAAAGCCUGCACUGCUUUACUCAAAAGGAUCUUGACUUUCUCUUCCUUUUAUAGAGCCUCCUGUUUUUUUGUUUUUUCAUUUAUAGUCGAGACUCGAGAAAAAUCACCAAGGACCAAUGACGCAUAGGUUGAGACUCAGUAGAUAACAGAUAUUUUUAUGAGUUUGAUGUGUUGCUUUUGAAAAUGCCAGAUAGUAUGAAUAAAGUCGGGAAAUUUCACCCAGGAAGUGAAGAUCCUUGUGUUGCUUUUGAAAAGGCAUGAUAGUAUGAAUGUCAUUUUACUUUUUGUAGUUGAGAUAUCGUAUUGUUGCUUUUCAAAUUAUGUGAAGCAUAAAAAGGACAGCUUGGUGCACUAAGCUCCUACUAUGCUUAGUUGCGCGGACUCUCCACUUUUGAUGUCGCACUUGUCUCGGAUUCUCCAAAAAUACACUACUUUUGGCGAAAUCGUCGCACCCAUUGGCAUUUUUGAAGAGUCCACGCAACAUAGCUACUAUGUGUGGGGUUGGGGGAAGGGCCAAACCAUAGGGGUCUAUUGUCCGCAACCUUAUCUGACAUUUCUUCAAGAGGUUGUUUCACAUCCCUAACCCAUAACCUUCAAACAAGAUUUUUCUUUUUAUCUUUUUUUUUUUUAGUUUUAAUUUUGGUUGGGAUUGCUGAUUGUUGAUUCUGUAUAGAUAAUUGUGGCAUGUUGUAGUUAAAAGCUAAGCUUGUUUUACACCAUUCUUUCUGGCAUGGUCAGAUAAAACUAGAGAUGCUAAGGAAUCCCAUAAGAUUCAUUUGUGAUGAAAGAUGCUACAACAACAACAACAAAUUCAGUGUAAUCCUACAAUUGGGGUCUAGAGAGGGUAGCAUAUACGCAAACCUUAGCCCUAUCCUUUGUGAGGUAGAGAGGUUGUAUCCGCUAGACUCAAAAGAGAAGUUCCUGAAGCAGGGUAUCAAGAAAAUAUGACAAUAAAAUAGCGAGAUAACAAAGCAAAUGAAAUAACAAAUAGUAAUAUACAUUGAAGAACAAGAUACUAUGCUACUACUAAAUAGCCCCCUAGCAUUCCCACAUAAAGUGCGAUAACACUCGGGUACUUACUAGCCUUCUGCUCUAAUCCUCGACCUCCAGACCUUCCUAUCUAGAGUCAUGUACUCAGUAAGCUAAAGUUGUGUCAUGUUCUAUCUAAUCACCUCCGCUGGUUCUUUUUCGGCCUAUCUCUACCUAUCCUAACUCCUAUUAUAUCCAAUCUCUCACACCUCCUUACUGGCACAUCCGUGCCCCUCCUCUUCGCAUGCCCGUACGAUCUCAGUUUCACUUCCUCAUUUUGUCCACCACAAAGGCCAUUCCGACUUUGACCCAUAUAAAAUCGUUUCUAAUCAUAUCUCUCUUAGUAUGUUCACACAUCCAUUUGAGCAUUCUCAUAUCCGCUACCUUCAUCUACUGAACGUUUGUGUUCUUGACUGACAAAUACUCUUCUCCAUGCAAAAAUGUUGGUCUAACCACCACUUUGUAGAACUUAUCUUUAAGCCUUGACGGCAUUUUCUUAUCAUCCGCUCCAAUAUGUGCGACAUCUCGUCAAUCUCUCCGUCUCCUUGGAUUGUUGACCCAAGCUACUUGAAAUUUCCUCUCUUGGGUAUGACUUGUGCAUUGAUCUUCACUUCCACCUCCGCCUUAUGCACUAUGUCACUAAACUUGCACUCCAAGUAAUUUGUUUUAGUCCUGCUAAACAUGAAGCCUUUAGAUUCUAGGACUUGUCUCCAAACAUCCAGCGUAUCGUUAACUUUCACAACGCAUCUGAUGAAACAUGCUACAUGAAAGAAGUAUUGUGAGAAAAGGAUGUCAGUUGUGCUAUGCAUAGUUGUGAUAUAAAAAUCAGUGCGUAAAAUAAUGCAGGUUCUUCUAUUACGUGAUAAAUGCAAAUGACUUCGGGAUGCAGAAUUCCCUAUGCUUCUUUUUGUUUUCUACUAAGUAGCAUUCAGUUUGAAAAUAAAACAUGUGUUUCUUGCUUAUGUUAUCCUAUUUCAUUAUCUCAGGACAAAGUAUUAACUAUUAACACUCUUCUGAUCCUAAAAUGUGUUUCCCGUUUCUUAUCCAUUUAGUUUAGGAGGCAUCAACUAAGUUCAUUAAGUCAUGUUAAUCUCUUAUAGGGAUCCAGCUAGGACAUUCACACCAAGGAUCAUAUUGAAAGCCAUGGGAGGUUCCAAGUGAAGACCAAGAUCCUUUUUGGAGAUGAAGGUCCCGAGAUGGACCGAAUUUGGAACUCGCUGGACCAAAUUUAAUACUGAUUGUGACUGCUCAAGUAUGUUGAUCGCCCAGACAUGCAGUUUGGCCAGAUAUUUUAUGUUCCUCAAUUGAAGGCACAACUCAUGUAUCCUCAUGCGCUUGCUUAUGGUUUUGGCAUAGGAACGAUUUGAGCUUAUAGCUUCGGAAUAAAUGCAACCUUGUUGUUCUUGUUCAACACCUAUGGUUGCGGCUGAAGUAGAGCCAAACUCCUUGUGUUAAUCAUUCUAACCUGUUGUAGUUUGAGUAAUCUAGUAGGUUUCUUCUUAUUUCACUUUGAAUGGAUUCCUUGAAAAUAUACUUUUCGCAUUAUUAUCUCCUUUUGUAUGGAGAAAAUAAAUUGUUUACCAUAUUGGAGACCUUGUAUAAGUUUCUUGUUUAUCCAGCCCUAUUCACUCCCCCACAAGCUGCUGCUCUCAACAAAUCAGUUUUACUAUCACUUGGACUGCAGGUAGAUCAAUUCUGUAACAAGAAAAUAGCAUCCAGAAAGAUAAAAUUGGCCAAUGCUACACACUGGUAUUUUACUCAUCGAGAUGCAUGCAAGUUGGCUCGUAAAUUAAAAUUUAAUUAUGCCACAUAAAUUGAACAUACAAAAAUAACAUACCUAGUGAAAUCCCACUUAGUGGGGUUUGGGGAGGGCCAGAGUGUACGCAAAUUUUAUCACUACCUCCGUACCUCGAACAGGUAUAAAGGUUGUUCCAAAAAACCAUCAGCUCAAGUGCAUCGAACCCCAGUAAAAAAAAAAAAGAAUGAAGAAAUCAUAACUGUUAAUAAGAAAAGGUACCAUCUAAAAGAGAGAAGCAAACAAUAACAACAAAAUAGUGUCGUAAUUAAAAACACAAUACACCACAUACAACAAGAACUACAAAGGUACGAAUAAUGCUAUGACAUGCACUAAUAAGCCUAAAACUACGUCCGGUGUAGUAGUAAUUAGUUUUUGUUUUAUUGGAAAAUGCAAUACAUUAUUUGUGACCAAACGUCUUCUUUGUUAACGUCAAAUCUCAUUUACCAAAUAUGGGAGUUAGAAUGUCGAAAGAUCAUUUUAACUUGGAGUAAUUUGGUCAUUAAAGUUACUCAAUUUUGCUUUUUAUCUAUUUUUUUGUCAACAAUUGUUUCAAAUAUCUAAGGGCAUCUCCAAUCCUACACUCUAUUUUACUCUCCAAAUAUAAAGUUCUCUAUUUUUUCAGACAACCAGCUCCAACUCAAUUCUCUAAAAAAAAAUCUUUUUCUCUCUCCUCAAUAGUAUAUUAUUAUUUGCAUUUCUAUUUCAUUUUUUUAUUUCAUAAUAUAAACACGUUCUUUCUUUUUUAAAAAUAAUCACCCUAUAUAAUUUUCAUGUUAUAUAAAAAAUUUAUUUUUAAAAAUUCUUUAUUUAGUAUAAAAUUAUAUUUAUUCUAAAUUUUAAAGAACAACUACGAAAAAUUGAAAAAAGAAAUCAACAAGCACAACCGCAAUCACAAACACAACAAUUCUCUAGAUCAUACACUAUCUUUCUUCUGAAUAUUGUUAAAUCUGAAAACGACCUACCGGAUUACUAAAUUAUUGUUGUGAUUUUAAAAAUAAUUAUAUUAUGUGUUGUAUUGUUAUCUUGUAUUUAAAUUAUUAUGUCAUGUAUUGUAUUUUUAAAUUAAAUUUUUUAUUUUAUCAUUUAAAUUUUGUGGUGAAAAUCAAUAAUAUUAUCAAAUUAUCUCUUAAAGUGACGAAAAUUGAAAAAAAAUAUAUUUAAAUUAUUGUUAAUUCGGGAUGAAAGUAGUAUAUACUAAAUAAUAUAUUUUUUAAAAUGUUAUAUUAUAUUUUAAAAAAAUACGAAUAUUAGAAAUUUAAUUAAUAGCCUUAUAUGAAAAAAUAAUAUGUUAGUUACAAAAUAGUAGAAAAUAAUAUUAAAAAUAAAUGAAAAAAAGUGAAAAUAGAGAGGUGAAUAGUAAUUCUCCAAAAUUUGGAGAACUAUUAUUCACCUCUCUAUAAAUAGAGAAUAGAGAGCUUUUUAGAGAGAGGUUGGAGUCUCAAUUCUCUAUUUUACCAAAUAUAGUGAAUGAAGAGUAAAAUAGAAGUGAGUUGGAGAUGGUCUUACUACCCAAAAAGUAGGGAGACAGGGUAAAAGUUAGACUUGAGCUUAGAAAAUCAAGAAGUAACACGUGACAUGAAGAAUAAGUUAAAAGUAACUCAGUUGGGAUAACAUCAAAUGAUAUUUUCAUAACGUAAGUAUUAAGGGUAAACUUGACCUUGAAAAAUCCAAAGUCAAGACAGUCAUGAUUAGUGUCAUAUCGACGAAUUCCGUCUAACCCCGAAAAAACAAGAUCAAACACCAGACUAUGACCAAAUAUGACAAGCUUGAGAUAAGUUGGUGGUCUAACUGUUACGGAGAAAUUCGAGAUCUCCACCAAUCAUUACAUAACUGAAGUAAAUGUGAGUUAGUGGACUUAUGAGGACGAGAACAACAAAAAUUACUCCCCAAAGUUAAGCUAUAAAAUAGUAUUCUAUCUACUCAUUGUAAACCAUCUGAUCGUAUUCUAAUUCGAGACGCAUUCACUCAUUAGCAAUACAUUGUUGUCUUCAACUCAUAAGCUCUAUUAUUUGUUGAUUUGUUAAUUACCAAUACCGUCAAAUUUGCUCGGUGACACUACAACUUCUAGCACUGGAAUUCAGGCUCAUUCUAUUUACGUAACUUAUUAUUUCAUGUCAAUUUCAUAUUUGUAAUUUUUUUCCGUUGUUCAUAAGUAUUGAUUAUUAUGCAAUUUAUAAUAUACAAACCACAUAUUUAGGUAAUUCAAUCCAUAUAUUUUUUAAAUCGCAUUUAUAAAUUCAGUUUUAUCGUUAUAAAGGUAAACACUAGUAAACUUUAGAAUCUAAUGAUUGAUUUAUUGUUGUUUAUAUGUAUUUUUACAUUUGAGAUUUCAUGUUUUCAAUAUCUUUGGCAUUGUACUUUUCUUCAAUGUGAUGUAUUUUUCAUGUGCCAUUUCAAAAAAAUGAAAACCAGAGUGAAAAGGGAAAAAAAAGAAAAAGGAAUUGCAAUCAAACCAAAUUUGAACCCCAUCACAUUAUUACUUGUAACUUUUAUAAGUGAAAGCCCGGCCCAAAAUUUCUCCUCAAUUGUCUUUGAAAACUUUAAGGUCAAAUUACAGAAAUCACAUACUUUUAAGGUAAAAUUACAAUUUAUUUCUUAAAUGUUUAUAAUUACAGAAAUCCCUCAAACGGAUACAAUAAUAUAAGCGCUGAUACAUUAAUCUGAUGUGCGAGAUACAAUAAUAUAAGCGUUGAUACAUGCGCGAGAUAUAAUAAUAUAAGCGCUGAUAUAUUAAUCUGAUGCACGAGAUACAAUAAUAUAAGCGUUGAUACAUUAAUCUGAUGCGCGAUAUACAGUAAUAUAAGCGCCGAUACACUAAUCUGAUGCGCGAAAGUAAAGGAUUUUGGAGAUUUAUAAAAUUUACAGGGAAUAAUGAUAAUAAGUAAACUAAAAAGUGGAAUUUUUCUAAUUUUUUCAAACUUUAAUGGUAGCAUGUGGAGAGAGAAGGCAAAUGCAAUAACAAUCAUUUAAAUUUCCCUAUUUAAAGAGGAGAAAAUGUUGACCAUAGUAGUUUUCAGUUUCAAACUUACUGAUAAAACUUCUAUUAUUUUCACAAAAAGCAUAAACAACACAAAAUAAAAUAAUUUUAUUCAUGAAAUAAUUUGAACUGAUACCAGUUUGAAGACGACAAAAUAAUAUAUAUUCAUGAAAUAUAUUAUCAAAGUAUAUAAUAAUUUGUUUAACUAUAAAGACGUAUAUUUUUUUUGUGAUUUUAAAUUGCAAUAAAAAUUUAUUUUCCACUUGGUGUCAACUAUCAAUAAAAUUUUCUACGUACCCCGACCUCGAACCCAAAACAUCUAGUUAAAAAUAAACCUUUAUCAUUAUCCUGUGAUCGAAAAAAAAAACCUUAUGAUUAUUGACAGGGCUACCAUUUCCCCGACUCCCUAAUUAAAAGCAGCACAACAGCAAAACCCUUUUGUGCGAACUUUGGCAACUCAAACCAGUAAUUUCUUGAAAUCAUAGAGAGAUUUCUCCUUCUGUAUCCAUUGAUGAUGAAGCAUUUGCAGAAGCUGACAGCUCCAUUCAUUCUCAAAUGGGGUUAUGUUUUUAACAAUUCUAAACCCAUUUUUGGGUCCUUCCAAAAGGUUAGGUUUUAUGCAUCUGCUAAAAAACCUAAAUUGAAACAAGAAGAAGAAGAAGAAUGUCAUAUACCUCGUGCAGUGAAGAAAGAAGCACAAGCUGUUUUGCUAGACUACUUGCAUUCCACUAGAAGUUUGCAGUUUAUGGAUGCUGAACAUAUGAGUAAAAACUCACCUUUUUUUCUUUCCAACUUAUUACAAAGAAUUGAUAAUGAAAAUGAUAUUAGACGUUCUUUAACUCGAUUCUUGCGAUAUCAUCCAAUCAAUGAAUUUGAACCAUUCUUUGAGAGCAUUGGUCUGAAACCUUGUCAGUACUUGCCAUUUCUUCCUAGAGAUCUCAUGUUUUUGAAUGAUGAUCAUAGGUUGCUUGAUAACUAUCACAUCUUGUGUAAUUAUGGUAUUUCAAGAAAUAAGAUAGGAAGGAUUUUUGCUGAAGCUCCAGAAAUUUUUAGAUAUGAUUCUGGAGUUUUGGACUUGAAGCUUGCUUCUUUUCACGGGGUUGGGAUAGAUCAGUCUAUUGUUGUUAAGCUUGUUAGUGCAAGUCCUUAUCUUUUGAUUGGGAAUGUACACAAGGAAUUUUUUCAAGUUGUUGAGGAAUUAAAGAAAACAGGAGUUGAAUAUAGUUGGAUUGAGGAGCAAUUGAAUGGAGAUUCUAUUGAUUGGAGCCACUUAUUCGAGCUCAUAUGCUUCUUGAACGGGUUGGGCUUGACUGAUCAACAAUUAGGAAAAUUAAUUUGUCAAGUUCCUGGUCUUCUGUUUGAUUGUUCCGGUCGUACUACAUUUUCGCUAAUUGGAUUCUGGUUGAAAUUUGGUAUUCAGAUACCCAAAUUACUUGAUGUAUUUCUACACUUGCCACAAAUUCCAAUAACCACAUUUGUUUUCAAUAUGAGGCAAUGCUACCUGUUCUUGAUUGAAAUUGAGAUGCCUGUCUUAGAGAUUGGAACUAUUAUUCAUUCAUACCCUACAUUGCUAGGCUCGUGUGUUUUGAAGAAAGCUACAAGCUUGUUAACUACCCUGAAUACAGGGAAGAAGCGGCUUUGUAGUGUGAUCAAGGAGAAUCCAGAAUUUUUGAGGAAUUUGGUUCGUGGAGCCAAAGUUGAACGGUUACCAAUAGCUGAGGAGGAGCUAAGAUCCAAAAUGAUGAAAACUAAGUUCCUUUUGGAUUUGGGUUUUGCUGAGAACUCGAGUGGAAUGGAGAAAGCUCUCAAAUUAUUUCGAGGGAAAGGGGUGGAGCUCCAAGAGAGGUUUGAUUGUUGGUAAAUGCUGGUUUGGAUCGAAAGCAUGUUGCUUCAGUGCUGAAAAUAUAUCCGACAAAUACUCAAUCAAAGGAAAGAGGUACUUGAGGCAAAGAUUGAUUUUCUAUUGAAUAAUUUGGGUCUUCCACUGUCUACUUUAGUUUCGUUUCCAUCCUACCUAAACUACACAAUUCCAAGAACCACAAUUAGGCUUUCAAUGUAUAAUUGGCUCAAAGAUCAAGGAAAAGUGGACCCAACAUUGUCUUUGAGCACUAUCAUAGCUUCCUCAGAGAAAUUAUUCAUGAAGACUUAUGUAAAUCCUCAUCCUAAAGGCCUUGAAGUCUGGCAAGAUCUGAAAAGAGAGAUAUAUCCUGAUUAGGUGAGAUAUCCUGGGUCGUUCCAUCUGGUAGCGUUGACAAAAGGAAGUCUAAAGCUUGAAGUCUCUUUAAAGCACAAUCUCCUGCUUAAGUUAAGAUGAGUACCAGUUCUAAAUGUGUUAACUUUGAGUGAAACGAAAAGGAGCAGGCUGCAAGCAUCCAGGUAAUGGCCUUUCUAGUUGUGUCAUACUUGGAUGUCUCUGUUACUAACCCAUUCAAUGAUUAAGGAUUAUAAUGUCCAUGUUUGCUCUUGAUGUCCACUAUUCUUGAUUCACCUGUCUUUUCCGGUGGCAAUAUGUCUAACUGUUUUACUUGCUAUUGUUGUACUGUUAAAAUUUAAAAUUCUUUGUCUUUGUUAGGAAUUGUCUUCUUUAUGAACUGUUCUACUCCUUAGCAUUCACCUCUCACUAGCUUAUAUUAUUGGUAAAGUGAACAAAGGACCAUCUUACUCGUAUUAGGGGCAACUACAGAUUGUAGGAAAAUAAUGUUUAUCUUGUGCCAAGUAAAAGACUAAAUUCUAGUAUGUGAGCUGAUUUGGUGCUUAGCAUUCAGUACCAUUCAUGGUACAUACCCCUUAUUUGAGAUGAAUAGUGCAUGUUCAAUGUCCUCUAUUUUGCAUCUUUGGAGUUUAACUUUUCAGAAACCAUUAAAUAAUCAUAAUAUGUUAAAUAAUGUAAUUUACCACUUUUGUGAAUGUAAAUUUGUAGGUCUUUCUUUCUUUCUGUUAUUUAAGUCAACCCCGCAAUUGAUGAACCUUUACUUAUGAAGUAGAAUUGACCAGAAUCAGAGAGAAUCAUUAUCAUUUUGAAUACAAUCUAACACUAAACUGGAAAAACAUGUCUGCCAAAAAUAUACAAUUCAUUAAAUAUUUAAGUAGAUAGUAUAUAGCGAAAGAUCAGAACAAACAGCAAAAUAGUCAAAGUGAAAAAGAAAAGUUAAGGAAACCAUAAAAGAAAUUUACAUAGUAUUUAUCAAAAACAAAAAGGAGAUUUUGUGGAUAACAUACUAGAAUUCAGAUCAAGGUGACUGGAGUGUGUUGUGGACAUGAAUGUUCCUCUUCUUCUCCCUGUUCUCCCUCUCUUGUUUUGCCUCUUAUUCUUCAUUGAGUUACUAUGGUGAAGCUAUGCCACCAAUAUGCUCUUUACUCUCACUCUUUUCUUCUUUGUUUAAUUCUUUUUUUCAUUUCAUUCUCUUUCCACUAUUUUACAUUUUAUUUUAUAAUUUUUGGGGGGAAUAAUAAUACUUUAAUCUUUAACUUUAACUAAUACUAAUAAUUUAUUUAAUUUUUGUCAAGGUGGAAUGUUUUUUCCAUGUGAAGUGUGAUGCGACAAUUUUCUUAAAUAAAUUCAUUUAUAUGUAAAUUUUGCUGCUAUUCUCAGUACAGUAACCCUGAAAUCAAGAUUUGACAUGUGAAGGGUGUAAUCUUUAGAUUCUAAUGUGAUGCCUAAAUUAGAUUUUCUUUGACAAGUAUUUAGUGGUGAUAGAAAAUGUGGUUAAAGCUAGAGUGAAAUGAAUGUGCCCCUGUGCUUUGGCAGUGGUCAAAGUCUGGUAUUUUAGUUGAGUUGGGUAGAGGGAUGGGCCUAUUUUCCACGGAGUUUGGAACUAUGUGUCUAUGUUUUUUUUGACAAAGGUAGCAGUUUUGUGUAUAAAUCUUUUUUUUUUUGAUGAAGCAAGAAGAAUGUCAUUAACAAAGCAUAGUUUUGUGUAUAAAUCUUCAGUUAGUGCUGGGAUCCCAAAUUUACAUCAUGAAGCUACAUACAGUUGAGUAUACUCAACAAAUCUAAACUAGAUCCUACUUCAUCUUACAAAGAACCUAGAAUAUCUGUAAUAGCUAUAGGAUCAUCUACAUACUCAGAACUGCACCAAUAGCAAGAAGUGAUAAUGCAGUUCAUUUUAAUCUAUGUGAAGGACUACUAAUGCUCUCAUAACAUCUCAAAUUUCUCUCCUUCCAUAUGGUCCACCAAAUCACUGGGACAAUUCUCCAUCUGUUUUUGUCUGUACUACCACUACCUUCAUUAUUCCAGCUUUCUAUUGCAUGGCUUGCCCUUUCAGGCAUGGUCCAACUUAUGCCCCUGAAGCUAGUAAACAAGUUCCAAAAUUCUCUAACCACCCUGCAGUGAAGAAAUUUGAAAUGUUAUUAGGAACUAUGUGUCUAUUGACGUUAGGGAAUUCUCAGUUUUUAAGGAAAAGAAGUCUUGAAAUGUUUUCAUCCUAUGAUACCAAGAGAAUCAAACUCACUAUAAAUUUGAGUCAAAAGAGUGCUGAAAAUAUUGAGUGUAAAGGAGGUGAACACGAAAAGAAGUCAUAUGGUUGACAGAAUCAGAUUUAUACAGGAUGUACUCUGCCUUUCUGUACUAUAUGUAUGUAUAAUUCAAGAAAAGAGUGAUUAAAUGUUUUGUUUGUGACUUCCUUCACAUAGUGUGGUUCACCUCAUUGUUGCUUCUCUGUAGAAUUCGCCUUUUCAUUCAUUAUGAUGUUAGAACAUAACCUUCCUGGUUCACCGCUUGGUCAUUAUCAAAUUAACAUGUGAGCAACUGUUCUAAAGCUGGAGUCUUUGUUGUGGAACCUAGGACCCUUUAUUGCUUCGUCUAAACUGUUGUAAUAUUUUGGAAUAUUCAGCUUCAUUUGGCUAAUUCUACAUUUAGACGUUUAAGUGGUGUAUAAUUUGUUUAAAUGCUAUCACAACUUGGCCUUUGCUAUUACAUUGUUUUUAGAAAAAUGGUAUGGUAAUUUUAUAAAUAUCAGGGUGCCAAGGAGGUACGUAAAGAGUACAGAAAGUGGGACUUGUGUAAAUCUUCAUAAUAAAGGAGUCUAACAAGUCCAUAAACUCUGUCCAGUUAGUCGAAAAUCAUUUUGUACCAACAAAAUAAAUUCUGAUGCAUAUAUAUUUGACAAAAAAUAUAAGCUUUUUUCCCCUAGAAUAUAUCUUCUAUUCCUUUCAAGCCACUUUCCAAAUGAUGCAUAGAAUGAAUUUCAUACUUUAUCUUCAGCUUCUUGUUGACAAUUUGUGUCUGCCAGACUUAAAGUAAACCAUUCAAAGCAAACUAUGUUGGGUUAGGUAUACUACUUUCCUCUGGAUUAGAAAAAGUCCUCUAAUUAAAUAUAUUAGUAGAAACCUUACCAAAAAUAAAUUGAUGAGUAACACUGUUGAAAGCAUGAGAAUUUUAAACUUUAUUUUUUCCAUAACCGAGAAACUCACAGGGGCAAGUUGUGCACCAUUUGAACUCCAUGGAUAGUGAGCCUGCCAGUGCCUUCUAUUGUCCCCUUUUUUGUUUUCUCUUUUGUUUUGUGUCUUCUAUUGCUUUUGUUAUUACCAAGAACUAUUUUAACAUUUACUGUUCAUGUCUUAGAAUAUAUAGUUCCAAUAUUACUUUUUUAUAAAAGAAGAAUAGCACUAGAAAUUCUUAGACAGACUACAAAUGUAAAAGAAAAAUAUAUAAGAGAAUAGAAAGUCAAAUUAUCCGAAAUUCACUUUGAGUUCUCUGUUGUGGAAUAAUAUUUAAUACACUCAUUGUAAUUUCACAACUUUAAAUGAUUUGUUUUUAGUAAUAUUUGCCUGUUAUUUAAAUACUCCUUGUAACACGUUGACUUAAAUGCUUCUUAUUUCAGUAAACAGAAAAGUUUAAAAGUAAAAGAAAGGGAGUUUAAAUUUUUGCAAGUAAUACGAUACUUUGUUGUUCAACACUGUAAUUCAUGUGGGGGUUCUUGUAAUUCUUUAAAGGGAGGUCCCUAGAAUAUUUUCGCUCUAGAGAGGAGUUCAGUGUAAUUGACUCUCAAAAGCUUGCACAAGUUAAUUUCUGUGAGUAAGCCAUCAAUGUUCUUGAACUGCCAUGUAUGCCUUAUGCUUCAUCACUUUGUAAUGCAAUUUUUACAUUUUUAACAAUGUGUAUUGCACGUCUACAUUUUAAAUGUUUCAUCAAUUUUGUGUUCAGAAUUUUUUUCCAAUGGUUUGCGAGCUAUUGCAUAAGAGCGGGGGUUUUACCUGCGCGCACCCAAAGGGUAGCGGCUGCGGGUUUCCCUUGUCAUAAAAAAAAAAACAAAAAAACUAUAUAUAUUAUUAUUUUUUGAUUGGUAUAAAUUCUGUAUCAUUUAUUGCUCAUGAAACCUUUCUUGUUGUGAAGUUUGAUCUCACAUAAAUAUGGUUCAAGGAGAUACAUGCUGGUUCUCUCCAAGUAAAAAGUGAUGUUCGAAUACAUUAUCCCUUGUUUCAUGGUCUAAAACAGCUUGUUUAUAUUAUAUUAUUGUCAUUGUCAUUUAUCAAUGUUUGUGCAAUGUUGUCUAAUGAAACUGUGCUUCUUAAAUGUUUUAAGUUUUGGUACAUUGGCAUUUGGCAGUUUUUUUCAUUAGUGGAUCAUGGUCUCAGUUUUGCUAUUCAACAAGUGCGACUGUUCACUCUCAGAACCCUCUCUUGUCGUACUACUUCAUCAAAUCACGGGGAUUCUCCAGAUAUGAAGCAAAUGCUGCAGCUGCCAAGUUGAACAGCGUGAAAGCACCUAAGAAUCCUGAUUUGGUAAUCAAAUUCUUCCAAGAGAUGGGUUUAGAACGGACAGAGAUCAAGAAAUUAGUUUCUAUUACACCGAGACUGUUUUUUUCUGAUAUAAACAGAACCCUUAAACCCAAGUUUCAGUGUCUGCGAGAAAUGAGGGUAUCUGGAUCUGACCUAGUUGAUCUCUUCCUAGCAGACGGAAAAGCUUUGUAUAAUGCAGUAGGUUCUCAUUUGAGGUCUAAUUUGGAUUUUCUAAGGAAACUAGUUAGUAAUGAGGAAAGUUUGGUUAAACUUAUAAAGAGGUCACCUUAUUUACUUGCUGUGAAUGGUCCAAAAAGAUUUGAACCCAAAAUAUUGUUGUUGCAAAAUUUUGGUUUUUCAAAUGCCCAAAUCGAGAAACUUAUACUUCAGAAACCACGUAUACUUCUGCAAAAAUUCGAGUGGCUAGAGGAGAUAUUGCACAAAGCUGAAAAGGAUUUACAGAUUUCUCCCACAUCUGGAAUGUUCAUGUUCGGAGGCUUGCAGUUAUCGCACUAGGUAAGUCAACAGUGGAAAACAAAAUGGGAGUUUUCAGGAGUUGUGGAUGGUGUGAUCAGGAUAUAUUGACUGUGUUCAGAAAGCAACCUCUUUGUUUGGCUAUGUCAGAAGCUAGAAUUCUGCGAGCUUUGGACGUUUUCACUAGGGUACUCGGAUGCAAACCAGAAUACUUGAUUAGUAAUCCUGCGCUUCUAAUGCUUAGCCUGGACAAGAGAGUGAUUCCUAGAAAUCAAGUACUGAAAGUUUUAGAGGAGAAGAAGCUGAAUCAGAAAGUAUCUUUUUCUCGAACUAUGUAUAUAUCUGAACCUAUGUUUCGUUCAGAAUUCGUGCUUCCUUACAAGGAUGAGAUACCUAAUCUAUAUGAGUCAUAUGUGACAUGUGUGAGCCGUUAGAGUCAUGAUGAUCAGUCAAAUGAGGUGCGAUUUUCAUCUUUAUGGUUCGUACUCAUGAUCUUUCAGUCAAAUGAAUUUUGUUUCUUCAGGUCUUUCCUGUUUUCUAUUGAAGUCACAACUAUUAGUUCCCCUGCAGUGUGGUAAAUUUCAUUUUCUCUGUCCAUCCUGCUUUUAUGUGUUUGAUCCUUUUGAGUUUUGGGCUAAGCAUGAAUUGAACAAUCUUGUUUUCGCUGUAUAUGACUCAUUGAAUCUUCUGGUUAUUGUUUGCUCUCCGUUUUUUCUAAACUUUUCUUCUGGGCAGAGUGCUUGUUUAUGGACUCUACCUAGACUGCAGAUUCAACAACUAACUAGUUGCAGCAUGUAAAGAGGUUUAUUGUAGCAACUGAGUCUGCAUUACUCUUAGUUGAAGAUGGAGUUGCACAAUUCUUUUGCCUUACAAGACUUAGUAACAGCUAGGUAAUAGAGGGACACAGAUUCUUUAAGUUCCUUUUUGGCUUCACACCUCGUGUGCGGUACCUACGUUGGUUCUGACUAAAUCUGGAUUUGCAUCGGGAAUGCUAGAAUAAUACAAUGAGAUGGCAUUAGGAUUUGUUUUGGAUAAAUUCUCAUGUAUAAC